AACGCACCUUGCGCUCUCUGGUAUUCCGGAGAGCAUGUCUGUUUGAGUGUCAUGAACUCUUCAACGCGCCGGUUCCUUGUUGGACCGGAUUGGUGUUUGGAUUUUGAGUGUUGCUAUUUAGUUAGCUCAUUCGUAAUACAUUAGCAUCUCAAUUUCGUAAUCGGAUUGACUCAGCGUAAUAGACUAUUCGCUGAGGACACCAUUUUGGUGGCCGAGACAUGAAAGAGUGGAAGCUUCAAACCCCUCCUAGUCAUUUUUAGAUUAGACCUCAGAUCAGGCAGGAUUACCCGCUGAACUUAA
rnacentral:misc_RNA from 1 species